rnacentral:rRNA from 1 species
CCCUCAGAAUGGUUGGAAAUCAUUCAUAGAGUGUAAAGGCAUAAGGGAGCUUGACUGCGAGACCUACAAGUCGAGCAGGGUCGAAAGACGGACUUAGUGAUCCGGUGGUUCCGCAUGGAAGGGCCAUCGCUCAACGGAUAAAAGCUACCCCGGGGAUAACAGGCUUAUCUCCCCCAAGAGUUCACAUCGACGGGGAGGUUUGGCACCUCGAUGUCGGCUCAUCGCAUCCUGGGGCUGUAGUCGGUCCCAAGGGUUGGGCUGUUCGCCCAUUAAAGCGGUACGCGAGCUGGGUUCAGAACGUCGUGAGACAGUUCGGUCCCUAUCCGUCGUGGGCGUAGGAAAUUUGAGAGGAGCUGUCCUUAGUACGAGAGGACCGGGAUGGACAUACCUCUGGUGUACCAGUUGUCGUGCCAACGGCAUAGCUGGGUAGCUAUGUGUGGACGGGAUAAGUGCUGAAAGCAUCUAAGCAUGAAGCCCCCCUCAAGAUGAGAUUUCCCAACUUCGGUUAUAAGAUCCCUCAAAGAUGAUGAGGUUAAUAGGUUCGAGGUGGAAGCAUGGUGACAUGUGGAGCUGACGAAUACUAAUCGAUCGAAGACUUAAUCAAAA